UACAGAGGUCUCAAGCGUUGUUCGGAUUCAUUGGGCGUAAAGGGUGCGUAGGCGGCGAGGUAAGUCAGAUGUGAAAUCCCGGGGCUUAACCCCGGAACUGCAUUGAUACUGCUUUGCUUGAGGACUGGAGAGGAGAUCGGAAUUCACGGUGUAGCAGUGAAAUGCGUAGAUAUCGUGAGGAAGGCCAGUGGCGAAGGCGGAUCUCUGGACAGCUCCUGACGCUGAGGCACGAAGGUCAGGGGAGCAAACGGG
rnacentral:rRNA from 1 species